rnacentral:rRNA from 1 species
UACGAAGGGUGCAAGCGUUAAUCGGAAUUACUGGGCGUAAAGGGUGCGUAGGCGGUUGGUUAAGUCUGUCGUGAAAUCCCCGGGCUCAACCUGGGAAUGGCGAUGGAUACUGGACAGCUAGAGUGUGUCAGAGGAUGGUGGAAUUCCCGGUGUAGCGGUGAAAUGCGUAGAGAUCGGGAGGAACAUCAGUGGCGAAGGCGGCCAUCUGGGACAACACUGACGCUGAAGCACGAAAGCGUGGGGAGCAAACAGG